UUCUUAUUGGAUGAUGACUGCCACAUGUCAUGUUCUGAUUGGUCAAUGAAAACAACAAUGCAUUUCAUCUUUCAUGGAGUUGACAUCCAAUUAUAACAUGACACGUGACAAUCAUCAUCC
rnacentral:pre_miRNA from 1 species